GUUUUACAUAUUUUUUUUACAGCCAUGGGAUGCUUUUGACAUCACAGAUUUAUCUGGAAGCCCUGAGAGAAGCCUGAUAGGAACUAUUCUGGGUGUGCUUUUUCUGAGGAGAAAGAGAAAGAAGGAUUUAAUUAGUUGUGAUAGCUACCAUCCNUCCAGCACUGAUAUAUUUACUUCCUGCUACAUUAGCAUCUUUGUUGAUUCCGGAAAAUGGCACCAAGUAGAAGAAAGAAAAGGCUUUCUUUUGCCGUUACUGCAUCAGACAAACGGCAUGGCAGCAGGCAUAUAUUGCUCCACAUCCAGCAAAGGACACAAAUGUUAUCAGAGGAAUAAGCUGGAAGACACAAAGAAAUCAAGAUCAAAAGGAUGCAUUGUUAAAGCAACACACAAAGCAAUUUGCUUUGGAGUUCCCUCCUAUUUCAAAAGAAGAAUUUGAAAGUAUGAGUGAAACCACUGCUUCCAAAAUCAGUCUCUACCAUCUCCAUCUCUUCUUCUUGCUCAACUGAACCACCUUCAAAGAGAAGAUUCAGUCUGUUCCAGGGAUGCUCCCAUUUAUUGCUUAGGCAGGGGAAAGAAUAAGCACUUAAAGAUUCAGUUUGUCUGGCAUGAGCACUUCAACUUGUCGGUGAAACUUACUUCCUUCUUCUUGGACAGCAGCUGGAAGAAUCCCCUAUUUGCCAUGGUAACCUGCAGGUGCAAACCUGGAGAGAAAGAAGAGUUUCAGCCUUCCAAGUAGUAAGUAUCCUGGGUACCACUCAGCAGGACAGAGAUGGUACCACCCCUUGGCUUCCUUGUAUCUCCCCUCCCUCCCAGUUCAAGAAGUCCAGCAACCUGGGUGCUUGGCACUGCACUGAAUUUCAGA
rnacentral:lncRNA from 1 species